rnacentral:rRNA from 1 species
UGAUUCUGGCUCAGGAUGAACGCUGGCGGCGUGCUUAACACAUGCAAGUCGAACGGUGAUAGCAAUAUCACAGUGGCGCACGGGUGAGGAACACGUAGCUUAUCUGCCCUCAAGUGUGGGAUAACGGUCCGAAAGGAUUGCCAAUACCGCAUAAGCUCACGGACUCUAGAGGUCUGCGAGAAAAGGAGUAAUUCGCUUGAGGAGGAGGCUGCGGCCCAUCAGGUAGUUGGUGCGGUAACGGCGCACCAAGCCAACGACGGGUAGGGGACCUGAGAGGGUGACCCCCCACACUGGGACUGAGACACGGCCCAGACUCCUACGGGAGGCAGCAGUGAGGAAUAUUGCCCAAUGGACGAAAGUCUGAGGCAGCGACGCCGCGUGGGUGAAGAAGGCCUUCGGGUCGUAAAGCCCUUUUCUGUGUGACGAGCAAGGACGGUAGCACAGGAAAAAGUCUCGGCUAACUACGUGCCAGCAGCCGCGGUAAAACGUAGGAGGCAAGCGUUAUCCGGAGUUACUGGGCGUAAAGCGUGCGUAGGCGGGUCGGUAAGUGGGUCGUGAAAGCGCCGGGCUAAACCGGGCGAGGACGAACUAGACUGCCGGUCUAGAGGCGGAUAGAGGGGUGCGGAAUUCCGGGUGUAGCGGUGAAAUGUGUAGAGAUCCGGAGGAACACCAGUGGUGCAAACGGCGCCCUGGGUCCGAACUGACGCUGAGGCACGAAAGCGUGGGGAGCGAACGGGAUUAGAGACCCCGGUAGUCCACGCCGUAAACGGUGUCAACUAGGUGUCCACUUGGCUACGUCAAGGGGGUGCCGAAGCUAACGCUAUAAGUUGACCGCCUGGGGAGUACGGUCGCAAGGCUAAAACUCAAAUGAAUUGACGG